UACGUAGGGUGCGAGCGUUAAUCGGAAUUACUGGGCGUAAAGCGUGCGCAGGCGGUUCGUUAAGUCAGCUGUGAAAGCCCCGGGCUCAACCUGGGAAUUGCGAUGAAGACUGCAAGGCUUGAAUCUGGCAGAGGGGGGUAGAAUUCCACGUGUAGCAGUGAAAUGCGUAGAGAUGUGGAGGAACACCGAUGGCGAAGGCAGCCCCCUGGGUCAAGAUUGACGCUCAUGCACGAAAGCGUGGGGAGCAAACAGG
rnacentral:rRNA from 1 species